rnacentral:rRNA from 1 species
UUAAGCAUAUCAAUAAGCGGAGGAAAAGAAAAUAACAAUGAUUUCCCUAGUAACGGCGAGUGAAGAGGAAAGAGCUCAAAGUUGGAAUCCGGUUGCCCUAGGUAAUUGGAAUUGUAAACUGGAGAGGUGUUUUCCAGGCGAGCCAAGCAAAUAAGUCCUUUGGAACAGGGCAUCAUAGAGGGUGAGAAUCCCGUCUUUGGCUUGAGCAUUGCCUUUUGCGAUACACUUUCAAAGAGUCAGGUUGUUUGGGAAUGCAGCCUAAAUUGGGUGGUAAAUCUCACCUAAAGCUAAAUAUUGGCGAGAGACCGAUAGCGAACAAGUACCGUGAGGGAAAGAUGAAAAGAACUUUGAAAAGAGAGUUAAACAGUAUGUGAAAUUGUUGAAAGGGAACCGUUUGGAGCCAGACCGGCUGCUCUAUAAUCAAUCUCUGCUUCGGUAGGGAUGCACUUGUAGGGCUUUAGCCUGCCAACAGCAAUUUUCUUUGGUGGAAAAAACUAGAAGGAAUGUGGCCCCUCGGGGUGUUAUAGCCUUUUAGAAAAUACACUGAAGGGGAUUGAGGACUGCAGCAAAUGCUUUUGGCGAAAUAACUAGGUGCUUGUGUUAAGGACGUAUAGAAUCUCUGCUUCGGGUGGUGCUAUGCUCUGCGAUGCAACUCGCUUAGACUAUUUUCUAUUGCUA